UACGUAGGGUCCGAGCGUUGUCCGGAAUUAUUGGGCGUAAAGGGCUCGUAGGCGGUCUGUUGCGUCGGGAGUGAAAACUUACAGCUUAACUGUGAGCGUGCUUUCGAUACGGGCAGACUUGAGGCAUUCAGGGGAGAACGGAAUUCCUGGUGUAGCGGUGAAAUGCGCAGAUAUCAGGAAGAACACCCGUGGCGAAGGCGGCUCUCGUGGGACGGUACUGACGCUGAGACGCGAAAGCGUGGGGAGCGAACAGG
rnacentral:rRNA from 1 species